GUUGAUUUCAUCAGCAACAUUCACUCUUGACCUCGACAAAAACAAUUAGAUUAUGACUUGUCUCCCAUCAACUAAGCAUUUACAACAAGCUAUAAAUAAACGAAGCUUUCAAU